GAUGGAUGCUGGCGGCGUGCUUAACACAUGCAAGUCGAACGGAAAGGCCCAAGCUUGCUUGGGUGCUCGAGUGGCGAACGGGUGAGUAACACGUGGGUGAUCUGCCCUGCACUUUGGGAUAAGCCUGGGAAACUGGGUCUAAUACCGGAUAGGACCAUCGUUUAGUGUCGGUGGUGGAAAGUUUUUCGGUGUGGGAUGAGCUCGCGGCCUAUCAGCUUGUUGGUGGGGUAAUGGCCUACCAAGGCGUCGACGGGUAGCCGGCCUGAGAGGGUGUACGGCCACAUUGGGACUGAGAUACGGCCCAGACUCCUACGGGAGGCAGCAGUGGGGAAUAUUGCACAAUGGGCGCAAGCCUGAUGCAGCGACGCCGCGUGGGGGAUGACGGCCUUCGGGUUGUAAACUCCUUUCGCCAAGGACGAAGCGUUUUGUGACGGUACUUGGAGAAGAAGCACCGGCUAACUACGUG
rnacentral:rRNA from 1 species